AGGCUCUGUUUCCUGGGAUGUGGGCUCAGCCUACCCCACAUCCCCUCAGCAGAGCCUAGAAUAAAGGGGCCAGGCCUCCUCCCUCAUGGGAGGGGUGUUUGAGGAAGGAGCCUCUCCCAGGCUAGCCUGGCCUCACAUUU
ensembl:scaRNA Gm22442 small Cajal body-specific RNA 21